AGUGAAACUAAUUAGUUGGUCUAUAUAUUUUCAAAAAUACAAUAUUUUUGAAAAAUAUAAUCUUCGAUAAAAAUAGAAAUUUUGUUAUGUGAAAACUAAAUUUGAAUUUAUAUAUAUUUUUUAAUUUUCAAUUCCCUGGACAUCAUUUUUAUGUUUUUUCUACUAGAAAAUAAUUUUCCUAGAUUACUUAUAAGUUUAAGGAAAUUGAAUAACUUUUUUUGUAUAGACAAUUUAUACCAGUUUUAUCAAUAGAUGAAAAUAAAGAGAGAAUGAGGGAGAGAAGGGUAUAGGUAUAAUAGAGAAAAAACAUGAAAAGAGAAAAAUAAGGGUUGAUAAGAGAGAACUAGGAGAGAGAGAAUUAGGGUAAUUUAGGUAUUAAAAAUAAUUAUAAGACCAAAUAGUUAACGGAGUUAAAUAACAUGGACUAACUAAUAUGUUUUUCCAAAAUAUAGGAACUAAUGUAUUUUUCUAAAAUAUAGG
rnacentral:misc_RNA from 1 species